GAACGCUGGCGGCAUGCUUUACACAUGCAAGUCGAACGAAGAGCGAUGGGAGCAUGCUUCUAUCAAUCAUAGUGGCGAACGGGUGAGUAACGGGUAAUCAACCUGCCCUUCAGAGGGGGACAACAGUUGGAAACGACUGCUAAUACCGCAUACGAUCUAAUCUCGGCAUCGAGGAUAGAUGAAAGGUGGCCUCUACAUGUCAGCUAUCACUGAAGGAGGGGAUUGCGUCUGAUUAGCUAGUUGAAGGGGUAACGGCCCACCAAGGCGAUGAUCAGUAGCCGGUCUGAGAGGAUGAACGGCCACAUUGGGACUGAGACACGGCCCAGACUCCUACGGGAGGCAGCAGUGGGGAAUCUUCCGCAAUGGACGAAAGUCUGACGGAGCAACGCCGCGUGAGUGAUGACGACCUUCGGGUUGUAAAGCUCUGUUAAUCGGGACGAAAGGCCUUCUG
rnacentral:rRNA from 1 species